rnacentral:rRNA from 1 species
UGGGGGAAUUUUGGACAAUGGGCGAAAGCCUGAUCCAGCAAUGCCGCGUGUGUGAAGAAGGCCUUCGGGUUGUAAAGCACUUUUUGUCCGGAAAGAAAUCCUUGGCUCUAAUACAGUCGGGGGAUGACGGUACCGGAAGAAUAAGCACCGGCUAACUACGUGCCAGCAGCCGCGGUAAUACGUAGGGUGCAAGCGUUAAUCGGAAUUACUGGGCGUAAAGCGUGCGCAGGCGGUUUGCUAAGACCGAUGUGAAAUCCCCGGGCUCAACCUGGGAACUGCAUUGGUGACUGGCAGGCUAGAGUAUGGCAGAGGGGGGUAGAAUUCCACGUGUAGCAAGUGAAAUGCGUAGAGAUGUGGAGGAAUACCGAUGGCGAAGGC